GCAAGCAGCUUAUUGAAGCAUGUAACUGGCAUCGCAAGUUUGCAAGGCUAUGCGGAUAGCUUGUUGGAUGCGACAGUCAGACAUUUUGGUUCAGCACCGUCUGCUCAGCCUGAAGAAAAUGGGUUCAAGGGCCAUGGCAUGCUGGCGCCUUUUACAGCUGGCUGGCAGAGCAAUGAUUUGCACCCUCUGAUCAUUGAGAGAUCUGAGGGUUCCUAUGUCUAUGACAUUUAUGGGAACAAGUAUCUGGACUCUCUUGCAGGAUUAUGGUGCACAGCUUUAGGUAUGUGCACGCGACUUUUGUGUUUGUUUCUGGGCUUUAGCAAUGUCUUUGCACCUGUUACUUCUGCAUCAUCUGUGUUCGUUAUGUCUUUUGGUGGUAGCGAGCCUCGA